GGCAGAGACAUUGUUCUACAAGGCAUGCUUCAGAGCAGCAGAGCAUGAGCACUGACCUGGUAAGCUACCAUCUGCAAAGGACCAUGUCAGGAGGCUCCAUAGGUGAUGGAAACUGCUGUACUGAGCAGACUCCUUGAGUGUUACCUGAGUGGGUGAGAUACUACAUCAAAGUCUCACAGAGGACAGUCCAAAGAAUGCUGUUACUUGAGAUAAUCUUUCUAUCUAAUAUGUUUGGUUGAGAUGUGGUAAAUACCCUGUGACUACCAAAGUUUAGCAAGAUCAAAGACUGACAACCAAGAAAUUUGGAAUAUGACUCACUUG
ensembl:lncRNA